CGGAGCGUGUGGUUUAAUUCGUUGCUACACGAAGAACCUUACUGGGUUUGACAUAUGGUGUAGGGAUCCGAAAGGUUGACCGACCUUCGGGGAGCCAUUUACAGGGUGUUGCAUGGCUGUCGUCAGCUCGUGUCGUGAGAUGUUCGGUUAAGUCCGCUAACGAGCGCAACCCUCGCUGUGUGUUUAUAUGUGUCACACAGGACUGCUGGUAUUAAGCCGGAGGAAGGUGGGGACGACGUCAAGUCAGCAUGACCUUUAUAUCCAGGGCUACACACACGCUACAAUGGUCAGUACAAUGGGUUGCCAAGCCGCGAGGCGGAGCCAAUCCUAAAAAGCUGGCCUCAGUUCAGAUUGCAGUCUGAAACUCGACUGCAUGAAGUCGGAGUUGCUAGUAAACGCAGAUCAGCUAUACUGCGUUGAAUACGUUCCCGGGGCUU
rnacentral:rRNA from 1 species